GAACAUGCUGAUGUAGAAGAUGAAAGGAACAGCCCGUGUUUAGAAAAUGGCUAACCAUUGGAACAGAAUUUUACUCCUGGGAUCACUGAUCUUUCCAUUAUGCUACAUAACAGUUAAUGGAAACAUUACGCAGAACUGUACACAUUUUCAAACUUAUUCUUGGAGGAAUAUUUUGCAAAGGAUGGACCUCAAAGUCCAAUUUAUGCUGCUCACCCGUCGGAACCCAAGUUGUGCCCAACCUAUCAGUGACAGUAAUGACAUUCAGAAUUCCAACUUUAAUGGAAGUCUGCCCACAAAGCUAAUAAUGCAUGGUUACAGGGUCACUGGCAGCAAACCUUCUUGGGUUGACACCCUGGCAAAAGAAUUGCUUGGUGCAAUGGAUGUGAACGUUGUCAUUGUUGAUUGGAUUAUUGGUUCAACAGCUUUAUAUCAUAAUGCAGUGCGGAAUUCUAUUGAAUUGGGUUUGAAGAUUGCUAUUCUUAUAGGAAACUUAAUGUCACAUGGAAGCACAGAAGAUUCUUUCCAUUUGAUUGGAAUCAGUCUGGGGGCACAUGUAGCUGGAUUUGUGGGUCGCAUGUUCAAGGGAAAGCUAGGGCAGAUCACAGGUUUAGAUCCUGCUGGGCCCGAGUUUUCAAAGGCAAGUGUUCAUCAGCGUCUCGAUCCUGGGGAUGCGGUCUUCGUUGAAGCCAUUCACAGUGACUCAGAUAAAUUUGGAAUUUCUCGACCAGUUGCGCAUAUUGAUUUUUACCUGAAUGAUGGGAAAGACCAACCUAAAUGUUCUCAACACUUAUUAUCCUCAGUUUACAAGUAUUUAAUCUGUGACCACAUCAGAGCAAUUUAUGUGUACAUCAGCUCCAUCAAGAAUCAUUGUCCAUUGGUCGCAUUCCCUUGUGAGAGUUAUGAACACUUCAGGAAUGGACAAUGCAUCGACUGCUAUAGCCACUCACUACAGCGUUGUCCACGCAUAGGACUUUUGGAGCGUGGGGGCUUGAGUGCAGAUGUGCUGCCAAAGGAAGUUAAAGUGUACCUAAUGACAUCAAGUCAACCACCUUUCUGCGUGAAACAUUUUCUGCUGGAAAUAUUUUAUGAACAAUUAGGUUUCCAUGAGCAACGUAUCAAAAUAAAAUUCCAAAGCCACUCCAACGCAUCAUACCUUCAUCUAACAAUACCUAAAAAGCAAUCAAAUGAAAGCACAAUAAGAAGAGUGAUACCAUACGAUGCCAGUUUUGGGAACGUGAAUGACGUCACUAUUCAACUGUCAUCCAGUUGGCGCAGGAAAAGAUAUCCAAUUCAUAUUGAGAAGUUACGUAUUAGGGAGCUCCCUUUGAAUGACAGAGCCAUGGAGUGAUAUAGCACAGACCCUUCAGCCCCACCAGUCCAUGCAGACCAUAAUCUCAAACUAAACGAGUUCCGACUUCCUGUGCUUGGCCCAUAUCCCUCCAAAAAUUUCUUAUUCAUAUACUUAUCUAAAUGUCUUUCAAAUAUUGCAACUGUUCCCACAUCCACCACUCCCUCUGGAAGUUCAUUCCACUCAUGAACCACUGUCUGUAAAAAAAAAUUGUCCCCUGUGCCUUUUUUAAAUCUUUCUCCUCUCACUAUAAAAAUAUGCCCCUGGUCUUGCAAUUCUCCACCAUAGGGAAAAGAGGCCUGAUCUUGUCCAAAUCCCUCAUUAUUUUACAAACCUCUGUAAGUUCACCUCUCAACUUGCCACACUCCAGUGAAAAAAGAUCCAGCCUAUAUCCACCCUCUCUUUAUAACACAAACCCUCUAUUCCCAGCAACAUCCUGGUAAAUCUCUGUUGAACCUCAUUUUCUAAAUGAGUUGACUAAUUUCGAGACAUGACUCCACAUGGACCAGUAACUUUCAAUAAACUGGCUGCUUGAAAUGUCAAAAUUGUAGUCUGUUUGAGUAAGAUGGGGGUUAUUUCAAAAACUCAAUCCUCCCCUUCCCUGACAUCAUUUUUGGAGUUUUUGUACACAGGAGUAAUUGAAUAGUAUUCACAAAUGGGAACUCAAUUGAAUUUUCCUCUCCCUGCAUGAAGGGCUCUAUAGGUAUUAUUGACCCAAUAAAAAUUUGCAGAACUACUGCCCCAAACCCCGCAUCAAUCUCAUGAUUUUCUAACUGAUGUGGUUUCUGAUGAUUGUAAUUUUUUGGGGGCCGGCGGGGCGACAUGAAAUUGUCCUUUAUAAUACUUCCAGAGGUGACGUAUGCAGUCAGUCAUAUUUGAACCUGAGAUAAGAUUCUGUUCACAUAUUCAGUCCCUCAUCAGGACCAUCUAUUACCUCUCAGUGCCUGAAAUGAAAUUGUCACCUAAGCCUUUAUUACCACUGGCCUUGGCUAUCCCAAUGCUCUCCACCACAUCAACUGAACUAUAUUCAUAUCCACGCAUUGGCUGUCCAUAUCCACACAAAGCCCUUUUCUGUGAAAGGCCACCCCGCUGUAUCUAUAACAUCGUCUUAUACAGAGAAAUAAUUUUUGAGCAGCUUUCUAAUUGUCUUUAGAAGCAGAAUGUCUCUACAUCCUGUGAUCCUUCAAGAACAAGACUGCCAGACAUAGCCUUAUCUAAGAACACAGUGGGCUAAGGAAGACAAACAUAAUGUCACAUUUUCAACUGCAAAGAUUUAUUGGGUAGAUUAUGAACAAAGAAAACUGAAUUUGGUCAUCUAGGUUGAAUGUAAAAAUUUGUUUGAAUUUGUUAUAAUGUUCUGUAAUAAUACAGAAUUCAAGGAAAUGUCAGAUAGCAUAAUCAGGUACUAUCUGUAGGGAUACUGUCUGUUUGGGGCAUGCAAUUACAAUCAGCCUGACAAGAAGACACACUGGGUCUGACCCAUCACCCGCACUUCAGCCAUCACCACCCUCUUCCCUCCUGCAACAGUAAAAGGGUUCCCCAUGUCCUUACCUACCAUUCCACCAGCAUCCACAUCCAGAAGAUCAUCAGACAUCAUUUCCACCACCACCAGUCAGAAACCAUCACCAGACACAUUUUCCUCUCCCCUCCCUUGUGCACCUUCUGCAGGGACUGUUCCCUCCAGCACGCCCUGGUCCACUCUUCCUUCACCCCCAACAUCCCCCUACAGCCCCACGGCACCUUCCCCUGCAACUGGCGAAGGUGUAACACCUGCCCAUUUACCUCCUCCCUCCCCAUUACCCAAGGUCCCAAACAUACCUUCCAGGUGAAGCAGCACUUUAUGUGCAUUUGACACAAUCUAAUCUAUUGCAUCCGCUGUUGACAAUAUGGCCUCCCCUACAUUGGGCGAACAAAGCAUGGACUGGCCGCUUUGCAAAACAUCUAUGUUCUGCUCACAGAAAAGACCCUGAACUUCUUGUUGCCUACCACUUUAACACAACACCCUGUUCCCUGGUCAACACCUCUGUUUCAGGCUUGCUGCAGUGUUCCAGUGAAGCUCAACACAAGCUGGAAGAACAACACUUCAUUUUCCUCUUGGGCACCCUGCAGCCAUCCAGACUCAAUGUCAAAUUUUAGGGCCUAAACUCUCCCAUGUCCUAGCCCCCGACCCCACACACUAGGCCUUGUUAUCACAUAGACUGCCAUUUACACACUACCUAUUGUUAACCACUAACAGUCUCCACAGACAGCUAUUCACCCUCCUAGCUGAACUCGUCCUCACCCUCAACAACUUUUCUUUCAAUUCCUCCCACUUCCUACAGACAAAGGGGGUGGCCAUGGGUACCCGCAUGCCUCUUUGUAGGUUACGUGGAACAGUCCCUCUUCCGCACCUACACUGGCCCAAAACCCCACCUCUUCCUCCAUUACAUUGAUGACUGUAUCAGCACUGCCUCGUGCUCCCAAGAGGAGCUCGAGAAAAGCUUUUCUGAUGAAGGGUCUUGGCCUGAAACGUCAGCUUUUGUGCUCCUAAGAUGUUGCUUGGUCUGCUGUGUUCAUCCAGCUACACACUUUGUUAUUCACCCUCCUAGCCAGAUUGUUAUCAACUCCUUUGUCUAUUCAACUGCUGUUCUCUCUCUUUGGGCUCUAUCCCCACAGAUGCUACCAGACCUGCUGAGCUUCUCCAGCAAUGUCCAUAUUUUUUGUUGACGAAGACAUAUGACCUGUUUACAGUUGUAGUGUAGCUUCCAUAAUUAUUCCACUUUUGGAACGAAAUCUUUUCAAUCAGUGAAUUAAGGUUAUUGUUAAAUUUCAUUCACCUAAUUUUCUCUGCAAUUCCUCCUCAAAUUACCCUCACCCAUUCAUCAUGAACAAUUAUGAGGAUUAGGCACAUCAACCAUUUAAUUUUUCCAAAUAUGCAACUUUCUAAUUGACUUCAGUUGGUCUGCAAAGUGACAUCUCUGGAGGAGAAGAUAGGCUCCAAUUUCUGUAAAAUACGAGCUGAACAUUUAGUUACUACUGCCUUCCUCAGACAGCUUGGCUAAGACUGUCAAGGAUUGGUAUUAUAAAUGAAUCUUAAGCAUAAAUGUCAGUCAAAUAUUGCAAGUUGACCCAUUGGCUCAGAUUUGAUCCUUCAAUUCAUUUCUUCUUCAUUUGGAGAGAAAAUUAAACUAAAAUGGAUUAACAAUUAACGUAAUUCACAGGUUUACAUGUUUGAUUCUAAAAGCUAUACAAUGUUGGCAGCCAAAGUACAACAAUAAACCUGAGAUAACAAGGUGUGGAGCUGGAUGAACACAGCAGGCCAAGCAGCAUCAGAGGAGCAGGAAGGCUGACGUUUCAGGCCUACACCCUUCUUCAGAAAAUACAACGACAAACCUAAUGUCCUUUUCUCAGACCUAUUGUAAUAAUACGUCUACUGCAGGCAGUACUUGAACAUGCAUGUAAAAUUUGCCUGAAACUUUUAUUACUACAGCACAUUAUAUGCAAGAAAUUAACUGACAUGCAUUAGCGUAUGAAUGAAUGAUUUAUUGUCACAUAUUUAGGGACAAUGUAUUCAGUUGGCACAAUCUGGCACCAUUUUGAGAUACUAAAGAAUACAAAGACAGUACUUAAUCAGAGUUCAUCUUCAUUGGCUGGGGUCCCAAACACAGCUACAGGACUUUGGCAAGCCUCUGCAAGGGUCCUGGUCCAAGCCAACUGCAGGCAGGAGUCUCCAUUCUGCCAGCCGGUGCCUCACCGCCAAGUCCAGGAGGCCAUGCAUCAGACCUAUGAAGCCAGGAGACCCAACCACACUGCUCCUGACUGCCCAUGACAUCAGGAAGAUGAGAAAAAAGAAGAAAAGAUGAAAAGAAGAGGGAAGGAAAAAUGCGGCUGGUCUGUAGCUGUUUGCAUAAUACGUAAUACCAUGUAAUGGCUAUUGAUUUGAAUAAUUGUUAGUGACGCCUGGAAUAAAACAGGCUGUAAAUUAUAAACAUUUACAAUAAAAACAGAAAAUAUUGGAAAUGCACAGCCAGCCCCACCAGAAUGUGAAGUGUGGACACAUUAAGGUUUUCAGUGGAAACCUUUCAGCAAAACUGAGAAAAUGAGGCAAGUGGUCACUAGAUCUGAUGAAAAGGAAGAUGAAGAGUAUGAGUAAUAAAUAAAGACCCUGGACUACCUCAGAUUCCUUCAAGACUCUCUGUGAUUUUCAGGUCUAGACAUGUGCUGUCAGUAUUUCAUAGAAUUCUUGUGUGUGGCUUCAGUGUGACGCAAAUGUGGGGGUGCACAUGUCUGAGUUCUCUGUUGCAGACGUACAUCUUGGAGGAGGGGUAUCAAGUUUUCCUACACAGAGCCUUGAAACUGCAGUUGCAGCUUCUUUAAAGUGUAGCUACAUGACCUAUUGGAUAAGAAAUUAACUUUUUGAUGAAUGGAAUUGCAGCUAGUGUUAGGAAAUGAUGAUGAAGUCAGACAAUUCCAGGAUUGGUGGCUUUAAUGACAAAGCAUUUGUUCAGUGAGUUGC